GGAGCAGCGCGGCUCAGGCUGCGGGAAAGCGGCGCGCGUGCAGCGGGGUGGGUUCGCUGGUCCGCGGGCGAGCUCGAGCAGCCAACCCCGGGAGCGUCGGGGCCAUGGACGGCCUGAGGCAGCGCGUGGAGCGCUUCCUGGAGCAAAGGAACCUGGUCACCGACGUGCUGGGGGCGCUGGAGGCCAAGACCGGGGUGGAGAAGCGGUAUCUGGCUGCAGGAGCCGUCACUCUGCUAAGCCUGUAUCUGCUGUUCGGCUACGGAGCGUCUCUGCUGUGCAAUCUCAUCGGAUUUGUAUACCCCGCAUAUGCCUCAAUCAAAGCUAUCGAGAGCCCGAGCAAGGACGACGACACUGUGUGGCUCACCUACUGGGUGGUGUACGCCCUGUUCGGGCUGGCCGAGUUCUUCAGCGAUCUACUCCUGUCCUGGUUCCCUUUCUACUACGUGGGCAAGGUGGGCCCUGCCAGGGCGGGCGCAGCCGCGGAGCGCAUGGGGCUCGGGAAUUCCUGGGAGGCGUUGGGGCCAGACGGUCCGGAGGAUACCAGGAGAUGGGGGAUGUGAGGGGAAGACUCAGUCCCUUCCCUAGGGAAAUGGGCCCUGUCCGGGGGCUGAUGGUGGAGGGCCCACCCUGAAGGGUGUCUGAUGGUGGAGGGCCCACCCUGAAAGGUGUCUGAUGGUGGACACCCAAGCCUGCUCCAAUAGGAUGUCUGCUGGUGGAGGGCCCACCCUGAAGGGUGUCUGAUGGGGGAGACCCAAGCCUGCUCCAAUAGGAUGUCUGAUGGUGGAGGACUCACCGUAAAGGAUGUCUGAUGGUGGAGACCCAGGCUUAUUCCAAUAGGAUGUCUGAUGGCACAGGGCCCACCCCUAGAGGGUGUCUGACGGUGGAGACCCAGGCUUGUCCCAAUAGGAUGUCUGAUGGUGGAGGGCUCACCCUAAAGGGUAUCUGAUGGCGAAAACCCAGGCCCAUCCCAAUAGGACGUCUGAUGGUGGAGGGCCCACCCUAAAGGGUGUCUGAUGGUGGAGACCCA
rnacentral:sRNA from 1 species